CAGGAAACCAUGAUUUCAGGAAAAGGAAGUUAAAAUCUAGCAUCUUGUGGGUAAUACCUCACCAAAUACAGAUGACCUUUCUCUUUUGGUGGGUAUCUGGUUGACAUGCUCCUCCCCAAUCCACUUAUCUUGACCAUGUUUGAAAAUUUAGCAAACAAACAAACAAACAAAAAACUGAUGCAACUUUUUAGGCUUCCUAUCUGGCUGAACCCUUGAAACCCAGAAACUUAAAACAUUUCAUUUGGAUAUACCGUUAAGUUGCCUUGGAACCCAAGCCAACCUUACGGCUGUCCCAUAAGCGAGAUAGCUCUCACCAGCAGUUGUUCAGUGGCUUAAGAUAAGUCACCCCAGAGCCAAGAAUAAGUCAUCUGAAAGCACAAGAAUUGUGUUUCCUACUGACUGCAGCGAAAAUUGGGAUUUCUUUUCCUUCUCUCAAAAACAAAACAAAAAAGCGAACAUCAAGCAAGCUCCCUCAUCCUUGCUGCUGGACCUCUGAAGAUGAUGCUGAAGCUUACAUGGCCAUUUUGAGGGACAUCUUCCCAACUUGGAAUUUGCCACUUCCUGUCUGAGGGUCUUUGGGGAGAGAGGGGGAGAGGAGACUGAAUUCAUAUAAAAGAAAGGUUUAAAAAAACAGAAAAGAAAAGAAAUUAGUAUUUCAUCCCAGUCCUGAGUGAAAGACUGUCCAAGGUUUUGUUUCUCACAGGCAAACUCAUGUCUAUGGUGCUCUUUGUAUUUCAGAACUGCAAAGCAAAGUAACAUUGGUUUCAGUUGUUUGCAUUUGUACCGGCAAGGCAAAAUAUUUUUAUUACCUUUUUCUAUUACUUAUUGUAUGAGCUUUUGUUGUUUACUUGGAAGUUUUGUCUUUUACUACAAGUUUGGAACUAUUUAUUAUUGCUUGGUAUUUGUGCUCCGUUUAAAAAACGAGCACUUUUUUUUUUUAUUAUGGAUAAAAUGUUGAGAUGACAGGAGGUCGUUUCAAUAUGGCUUAGUGAAAUAUUUAUUGUUCCUUUUAUUCUCUGUACGAGAUUUUUGGCCUCUUUUCUCCCUUAACGUCACAAUGUUGAGUUCAGCAUGUGUCUGCCAUCUCAUUUGUACGCUCGUUCGAAACAGUUUGUUCCAGUUUCAAAUUAUAAAAAUAAAUUGGACAUUUACUUGAUCUCCAAACCUUGUCUUUCCUAUGUCUUUUCAAGAUUGAUU
rnacentral:lncRNA from 1 species